rnacentral:rRNA from 1 species
GAUGAACGCUAGCUACAGGCUUAACACAUGCAAGUCGAGGGGUAACAAGAGAAAAGCUUGCUUUUCUUGUUGACGACCGGCGCACGGGUGAGUAACGCGUAUCCAACCUGCCUAUAACUAGGGAAUAACCUUGCGAAAGUAAGACUAAUACCCUAUGAUUUCCUUUGAUGACAUCAGAUUAGGAAUAAAGAUUUAUCGGUUAUAGAUGGGGAUGCGUCUGAUUAGCUUGUUGGCGGGGUAACGGCCCACCAAGGCAACGAUCAGUAGGGGUUUGGAGAGGAAGGUCCCCCACAUUGGAACUGAGACACGGUACAAACUCCUACGGGAGGCAGCAGUGAGGAAUAUUGGUCAAUGGGCGGAAGCCUGAACCAGCCAAGUAGCGUGCGGGAUGACGGCCCUAUGGGUUGUAAACUGCUUUUAUACAGGAAUAAAGUUAGCCACGUGUGGUUAUUUGUAGGUACUGUAUGAAUAAGGACCGGCUAAUUCCGUGCCAGCCGCCGCAGUAA